GGAAUGACUUCCAGAAAACAGAUGGUAGCAAUGCCGAAGACGUUCUUGAAUUUGGAGAAAGCUGGAAACUGCAUGACAAACAAUGAUUAUAGGAAUUCCACCACUGACGAAAGGACGAGCGUGGUUACAGCCUGAUUAGUUUUUUUAGAAAUCUAUAUUUUUCGGCAUUUUCUGGUGAUGGUUAUAUGAGAAAUACACCAAUUCUGAUAUUUCUAUUUGAAGUUAGGCAGCAUGGGUAUUAUACCUAAUGACAUUAUAACACGUGGUUGAUCACAUUCUUCGGGAAAUUAGUAGAUAAGUAAAACAUAUAUUGCUCAACAAGGUUAGUUCAAUAAAAAGAUGUGGAAAAGCAGA